rnacentral:misc_RNA from 1 species
GGAAAGGAUGAUGAUAGAGGACCCUGCAUUCAAUAAGCCAUAAAAAAGGUCAUCAAAGCUCUUUAAAACAUGCAAAGCAAAUAAUAUCAUCAAAGGAAGAGAGAGAAUCAUCCAGAUUUGUGAUGUUACUAUUAAUAUUUUGCACAAUUAUUAUGAUACAGAAAGAAGAAUGACAAGCAAACGAUGCAAUCAUAUGUUUAGUAGUGUUCCCUCUUCAUGCAGCACUAAAUUAACUCAAUAUUUUCUUCCUGCUCCACGCUGCAUCACUAUCAACGCUAAAGCUUCUUUCUAUGUGCCAAAAGGGAACAGAAGUUACUCCUGGUUAAUGUCCAAUAAUAACAAUCUGAGAGAACCAGGUCAUUAACUCAUAGUCGUAGUAUUAUCACAUAUUGUUGUACAACAAACUAGUAGCGAAGAAUAUUUGAAAUAAAGAUAAAACACCUUUUCCCCAAAAGAGGAUUAUGUAACAACUAGCUCUAAAGCAUCCUAUAGUGAACAACAGACAAUGUUCAUCAUGAAACCUCAACUUGAUCAAAUUCUUUUUUGUUGUAGUUUACUCUCAUUUUCCUUAUUCUUUGUUUGGUAAGUUUUGAAUUCUUUCCUUUACUACAAAUAGGAUAUUAUUCAAACUUGAUUCAUGAUAGCCUUGAUAUGAAAUUAAUCCAGUGUCAAGGAACGCCUCGAAUGAUAUGAAGUAAAUCCAUGGCCCAACUGCUUAAGUUAAUGAAAAUACUAUCUAUCCUGUCUUAACCAUCAUCGUUAUAAAGCUACAUGUCGUAAAGCUCACCAAAGCAAAGAACAAAGGCGUAAA